rnacentral:lncRNA from 1 species
CGCCGCCCGGUCGCCAGGGAGAGUGAAUACAGCUAGGGACGUGAAAGCUGCAGUUGAGUGCUGCCACUUAAAUCCUGCAGUCCCGAGAUCCGGUUAUAACCAAUGCAUUUAGAUUUUUCAUUUCGGUGGCAACAAUCUUCAUUGUAAGUUCUGUCCUACAGAGAAGUGUGGUGAUCAAGCUCUUCGGAGAUACUGGGACUCCUCUCACAAAUGUAUGUCUCACAGUUAUGAUGAAUGGUGUAUCUCCUGGAUCUUCCUCAGUUGAGUAUGUUUUAAAGGAAAAAUACACUUUAUCAUUCAAAUCUUUCAAAGCUUUUGAAUCACUUUAUAGCAAACCAAUGAAGAUCCAGCAUUUCAUUCUUUCUUUUUUUUUUUUUUUUUUUUUGAGACAGAGUUUCACUCUUGUUGCCCAGGGGCUGGAGUGCAAUGGUGCGAUCUCGG